GCCACACUUGCAGCAUAUGGGAGUUCCCAAGCCAGGGGUCAAAUCAGAGGUACAGCUGCUGGCCUACACUAUAGCCAUGGCAACACAGGAUCUGAGCCACAUCUGUGACCUACACCACAGCUCAUGGCAAUGCCAGCUCCUUAACCCAGUGAACAGGGCUAGGGGUGGAACCCACAUCCUUGUGGAUACUAGUCAGGUUAAUUUCCACUGAGCCACAAUGGGAACUCCCUAUAAUCUUUUUCAAAGAUUCCGCAUUUCUCGCUCUGAUUUAUUUCACUUAGUAUAAAGGUCCAUCCAUGUUGUUGCAAAUGGCAGGAUUUGCCUCAUUUUAUCAAUGCAUAAUAUUUCACUGUUUACUUUUACUUUUGCAAUUUAUUUCCUUUGGAUAUAUAACUAGAAGUGAAAUUGCUGGAUCAUAUGGCAGUUCCCUUUUUAGUUUUUUGAGGAACCCCCAUAUUGUUUUCCAAAUGCCACAUGUUUUCCAAAUGCCAAUUUACAUUCCCAUCAACACUGCACAAGGGCUCUUGUGCAUUUCUUGCCAUGUCCUUUCCAACAUUUCCUUGUCCUUGCCAACAUUUGUUAUCUCCUGUUUUUUCAUAAAAGCCGUUCUGAGAGAUGUCAGUGAGAUUGUGUUCUUGAAUUUGGAGUUCCAGNGGUGGCCUCAAAGGAGACCCCAGUUUGUCACUUUUUUUUUUUUCACUUCUUCUUUGUCUUUUUUAGGGCCAUAGCAUGGCAUAUGUAAGUUCCUGGGUUAGGAGUCCAAUCAGAGGUGCAGCUGCCAGCCUAUACCAGAGCUACAGCAACACUGGAUCCAAGCUGCAUCUGCAAACUACACCACAGCUCACUGGCAACACUUGAUCCUUAAGCCGCUGAGUGAGAGGCUAGAAAUGGAACUCAAAUCCUAAUGGAUACUAGUGUUGGAUUCUUAAACUGCUGAGCCACAAUGGGAAUUCCUGUCACUUCUUUUUUUUGUUGUUUUUUUUGUUUGUUUGUUUGUUUUUGUCUUUUUAAGGCUGCACUCAAGGCGUAUGGAGGUUCUCAGGCUAGGGGUGGAAUGGGAGCUGUAGCUGCUGGCCUAUGCCACAGCCACAGCAACGGCCCCAUCUGUGACCUACACCACAGCUCACGGCAACACCGGAUCCUUGACCCACCAAGCACAGCUAGGAGUUAAACCCUAGUCCUCAUGGAUACUAGUUGGGUUUGUUCCCACUGAGCCACAACAGGAACUCCAGUUUCUCUUUUCUAUGUGAAACACUGACUGACACAAUCCAAACAGUCUAAAAUUUUUUGUAAUAAAGUACUAGUAGAGAAUUCCCAUCUGUGCCUAUUUAUGGUAAUAUGAGAAUAAUCUUUUCCAAUAUAUCUGCCUACAUUUUAUCUAUCUGCUUAUGUACCUAUCACCUACAUAUCCAUAAAAAUGUUUUUGCAAAAUGGAACU
rnacentral:lncRNA from 1 species